rnacentral:snRNA from 1 species
UUGGCUUCUCGGCCUUUUGGCUAAGAUCAAGUGUAAUAUCUGUUUGAUGUUCAGUAACAUAUUCUGAGCCUUACAGAUGUCUGAGUUUGAAGGUUAGCUGGUGUACUCUUA